UUGCACCCAUAACUCGUUCCCUCCAAGUGGGCGGAGUCACAACCUGCAGUGACUCUCAGAUCUCACACACGUUCAGUGUGACAACAUGACUCCUAUCAGACACAGCUUGUUUCUUUUUGCUCUCUGGAUUAAAGGUCUAACAGAUGGCAGUGUCGUCACUCAGACUCCUCUGCUGUGGGUCAACCAGAGUCAGUCCACCAUCAUGAACUGCAGUCACAACAAAGAUGCUACUUACUUCCAGAUGUACUGGUACCAGCAGCUGCCGGAUCAGAACAUGAAGCUGAUAGUUUUUACGACAACAUAUCCUCCAUUCCAGUAUGAAGACGGCUUCAGCAAGGAGAAGUUUCCAGCGGACAGGAAGGACGCUCUGAGCGGAUCUCUGACGGUGAAGCAGCUGCAGCCUGAAGACAGCGGAGUGUAUUUCUGUUCAGUCAGUCAACACAGUGAUGAGGCCGAGUGAAAGAGCUGCACAAAAACCCAGCUGCUGGAGACACAGUGAAGUUACACUUCAUCAUCAGCAGGGGGAGCUCUCAAUUCAAACUAUGCAGCAUCUCAACAUUGUUACGGCCCAAGGUCUUUCCUCUGGGUC